UACGUAGGUGGCGAGCGUUAUCCGGAAUUAUUGGGCGUAAAGAGCGCGCAGGUGGUUGAUUAAGUCUGAUGUGAAAGCCCACGGCUUAACCGUGGAGGGUCAUUGGAAACUGGUCGACUUGAGUGCAGAAGAGGGAAGUGGAAUUCCAUGUGUAGCGGUGAAAUGCGUAGAGAUAUGGGGGAACACCAGUGGCGAAGGCGGCUUCCUGGUCUGUAACUGACACUGAGGCGCGAAAGCGUGGGGAGCAAACAGGAUUAGAUACCCU
rnacentral:rRNA from 1 species